rnacentral:tRNA from 1 species
GGGCCCGUAGCACAACGGUCAGUGCAGACCGCUCAUAACGGUUUGGUUGCAGGUUCGAAUCCUGCCGGGCCUA